AAUGAACGCUGGCGGCAGGCCUAACACAUGCAAGUCGAGCGGAUGAAGGGAGCUUGCUCCUGGAUUCAGCGGCGGACGGGUGGGUAAUGCCUAGGAAUCUGCCUGGUAGUGGGGGAUAACGUCCGGAAACGGGCGCUAAUACCGCAUACGUCCUGAGGGAGAAAGUGGGGGAUCUUCGGACCUCACGCUAUCAGAUGAGCCUAGGUCGGAUUAGCUAGUUGGUGGGGUAAAGGCCUACCAAGGCGACGAUCCGUAACUGGUCUGAGAGGAUGAUCAGUCACACUGGAACUGAGACACGGUCCAGACUCCUACGGGAGGCAGCAGUGGGGAAUAUUGGACAAUGGGCGAAAGCCUGAUCCAGCCAUGCCGCGUGUGUGAAGAAGGUCUUCGGAUUGUAAAGCACUUUAAGUUGGGAGGAAGGGCAGUAAGUUAAUACCUUGCUGUUUUGACGUUACCAACAGAAUAAGCACCGGCUAACUUCGUG
rnacentral:rRNA from 1 species